rnacentral:SRP_RNA from 1 species
GCUGGGUGUGGUGGCGGGCACCUGUAAUCCCAGCUACUUGGGAGGCUGAGGCAGGAGAAUUGCUUGAACCCAGGAGGCAGAGGUUUCAGUGAGCUGAGAUUAUGCCACUGCACUCCAGCCUGGGCGACACAGCAAGACUCUGUCUCAA